GCUUUGACCUCUAUAUGGACAAAAUUAAGCCUGUUAUUUCAAUUUUUUUCUGGAACAGAAUGACGAACAAUGCCUCACAAGGGGCCUGCAAUUCAACAACACUGAAUCAGGGCAUUUCCAGGAUUUCUAAAGCUGUAGACACCCUGACUAACCAACUGUUCUGUGAGGGAGGGAACAACCAAAGCUUUCCUGAAGAGAAGUUCAGCGUGCUGCAACAAGACCUCAGACAGAUUAUGAAAUUGGCCUUAAAAGUCUUCCUUCAUUUGGGCACCAAUGAAUCAAAGUCUGAGGUCCUGGAUGUCUUUGGAGCUUUGAACAGUCUCAACAGUGAUAACGAUCAAAAUGUGCAAUUCAUCCGCCUGUGGUUCAACGUCCAGCUGGUACCUCUUUUACCCCACAUUACCGGAGACUUCCUGUCCCUGUUGAGCACAAGAGACUUCAGCUGCAGCUCCUAUCAGGCACUGGUCCUGGGAUUGAGUGGUGAACUGGUAUCCAUUAAUGAAGAGCAGAAACAAUUGAUCUACACUCACUUUAUCCGUCUUUUCCUGUUCAGAAAGGGAUCAUCAGAUCCUGGAUGCUUGGGAAAUGUAAAUGAAAGUGCAGACUGGUUGUUGAAAAACUUUGGAAACUUUUCAAGCAUUGCUGAUUUAAAGGAUCUGUAUGAACUAAACCAGCAUUUCUCUGCGCUGGAGGUUUUGAAAAUCCUUUCACCAAACCAGAAAGCUGAAUUGAUACUGGACCCAAGCACUGGCGCUCUGGAGAAUGAGACUCUUGUGAAGAACGUUUUCAUCAGCUUGCUGGAAUCCCCAAGGGAAGAGCAGCUCAAUGAGUUCUUUGUGACUUUUGUUGAAGUCACCAAGCAGGAAAACAUCACUAUCAUCACAAACACAGCCGUAAGAGACACAAUGCUAGACCUGACCUUGAUGGCUCUUGCUCCCAAAUUCGACGUUUUUGAGCCAAAAGACUUCCAGCUGUGGUUCCAAGUCAAUCUGGUUGUUCUGCUGGCCAGCUUCCAUCCUGGCAGAUUGGUUGAUAUCCCCCUAAACAUCACCUGUGAAUCCUACAAUGCCAUGUAA
rnacentral:lncRNA from 13 species